rnacentral:rRNA from 1 species
AGGAUGAACGUUGGCGGCGUGCCUAACACAUGCAAGUCGAACGGUAGUCGCAAGACUACAGUGGCGCACGGGUGAGUAACACGUAGCUUACCUCCCUCUCAGCGCGGGAUAACGACUCGAAAGAGUUGCUAAUACCGCAUAAGCUCACGGGUUACAGAGACUUGUGAGAAAAGGUGCAAAUCACUGAGAGACGGGCUGCGGCCCAUCAGCUAGUGUGA